AUGGAGUCUUGGCUGAAGAAUAUUCUGAUUAUUGCAGCGUUUUAUUGUGAAUGCAGAGGAGAAGACUCGGUCACUCAGCCAACAGGAGAUGUGAUCACUACUGAGGGUGGACAGGUCACACUGGGCUGUACAUUUAAUAGUCAGGUGGCAAAUUCAUACCUGUUCUGGUACAAACAAGGAGCUAAUGACCACCCAAAAUACAUGCUUAUGCAGCCCAAAUAUGGAACUGGGGACAAUGCCGCAGACUUCAAAGAUAGAUUUCAUGCUGAUCUUGAUACCAAGACAAAUUCCAUCCCCUUGACGAUCCAGAGACUACAGCUGUCUGACUCUGCUGUGUACUACUGUGCUCUGAGUCCAUGC